GACGAACGCUGGCGGCGUGCCUAAUACAUGCAAGUAGAACGCUGAAGCGAGGAGCUUGCUCUUCUUGGAUGAGUUGCGAACGGGUGAGUAACGCGUAGGUAACCUGCCUUGUAGCGGGGGAUAACUAUUGGAAACGAUAGCUAAUACCGCAUAACAAUAGGUGACACAUGUCAUUUAUUUGAAAGGGGCAAUUGCUCCACUACAAGAUGGACCUGCGUUGUAUUAGCUAGUAGGUGAGGUAACGGCUCACCUAGGCGACGAUACAUAGCCGACCUGAGAGGGUGAUCGGCCACACUGGGACUGAGACACGGCCCAGACUCCUACGGGAGGCAGCAGUAGGGAAUCUUCGGCCAUGGGGGCAACCCUGACCGAGCAACGCCGCGUGAGUGAAGAAGGUUUUCGGAUCGUAAAGCUCUGUUGUAAGUCAAGAACGAGUGUGAGAGUGGAAAGUUCACACUGUGACGGUAGCUUACCAGAAAGGGACGGCUAACUACGUG
rnacentral:rRNA from 1 species